UGGCUCAGUUGGUAGAGACAUGGUGUUUGCAACGCCAGGGUUGUGGGUUCAAUUCCCAC
rnacentral:tRNA from 1 species